CAAAUGGUGAAGGCUGAGUCAUUGCUCUCCGAAGGCAAGGUAAGUUCUUAGGAGUCCCUGGUGUUAGUAUUGCCAUUAGCCAGCCAACCUGGCACCUUCCUUCCUCUGAGUUUCUGUGCAAAAACGCCUUAUUGGAUCUAUAGCAAGGAUUCAGAGACUCUGAACUCAUCCAACAGGGUGGGAGUCGUGCCUGAACAGACUAAGUGAAUACAUAUUUUCUCAGGAAGGCGUGCCACGGGAAACUUCGCGCGAACGAGGGGAACACUGAGUGUGGUGGCGCAAGCAGAUCCUCAGCGGCAGCUUGAGUGGGCUGCCCCAAGGUUGGUGAUGGCAGCCACCCGGGAAGGGGACCCCACAGAUGCCAACCGGAAGACCAGAGAUGGCUAGUGACCUCAGUGACUUUCAAAGGUUGGGUCUUAGUGGUUUCUGGGACUUCUGGGGCUUUUGUCUCUGUCCUUGAUCCGGCUUCCGGGACUCGCCUCAGGGAAGCCAGGAAGGAGUACACACCCCUGCUGCUGCCCCAGGAACCACCACAGACCAUCUGCCAGCCUGAUGGUGUCUGAAGAGACAAGGCUGUGACGAGACAAGGAAAACCAUAAUUCCGCCAGGUGGGCAGGAAGACCCUCCACAUCGAACAACACUGGUGUGGUUCAGAAAGAAUUCUGACAAUACCUUUGCUGUGCAAAUCUCCCAUCUGCCCAAGUGGUUAAACUUGCAGCCUCCUGCCGCAGUUUAAAUUGUUCAGGACCAGAAAGAGAUUUAAGGAUGACAGUGUAUGAGGAAUGCAGAAGCCUUGGGUCUAUACAAGUUAGUAAAACUCUUCUAUUUGAGGCCAACUCCUCUUUGGGUAUUAGCCAGAGCCUGG